CCUACGAGAGGCAGCAGUGAGGAAUAUUGGGCAAUGGGCGCGAGCCUGAACCAGCCAAGUAGCGUGAAGGAUGACUGCCCUACGGGUUGUAAACUUCUUUUAUAAAGGAAUAAAGUGAGGCACGUGUGCCUUUUUGUAUGUACUUUAUGAAUAAGGAUCGGCUAACUCCGUGCCAGCAGCCGAGGUAAUACGGAGGAUUCGAGCGUUAUCCGGAUUUAUUGGGUUUAAAGGGAGCGGAGAUGGGUUGUUAAGUCAGUUGUGAAAGUUUGCGGCUCAACCGUAAAAUUGCAAUUGAUACUGGCAGUCUUGAGUACAGUUGAGGUAGGCGGAAUUCGUGGUGUAGCGGUGAAAUGCUUAGAUAUCACGAAGAACUCCGAUUGCGAAGGCAGCUUACUAAACUGCCACUGACAUUGAUGCUCGAAAGUGUGGGUAUCAAACAGGAUUAGAUACCCCAGUAGUC
rnacentral:rRNA from 1 species